CACGUAGGGACCGAGCGUUGUCCGGAUUCAUUGGGCGUAAAGAGCUCGUAGGCGGUCGGGUAAGUCGGGUGUGAAAUCUCCGGGCUCAACUCGGAGGGGCCACCCGAUACUGCACGACUCGAGUCCGGUAGGGGAGUGGGGAAUUCCUGGUGUAGCGGUGAAAUGCGCAGAUAUCAGGAGGAACACCAAUGGCGAAGGCAGCUCGCUGGAACGGAACUGACGCUGAGGCGCGAAAGCGUGGGGAGCGAACAGG
rnacentral:rRNA from 1 species